AAAGCUAAGGAGUUGGAAGGAAGGUUAUCGGCAAUGAGAGCUUGGAGAAGUAGUGGGGACGCAAACACAAUGUGGUCGACGACGGCGGACUGUAUAAGAAAGGCGGCGAGAGAGGUGUUAGGGAUAUCUACGGGCCACAAUGGUGGCCACAAAAGAGAUUGGUGGUGGAAUGCAGUUGUCCAAGGUAAAGUGGAAGCAAAGAAGGCGGCUUACCUGCGGUUAGUAGGGAGCACUGAUGAGGAGGAAAAGAGAGAGAUCAGUCAAAGGUAUAAGGUAGCUAGGAAGGAGGCGAAGAUGGCAGUGACGGAGGCUAAGACGACAGCUUUUGCUCGUCUGUAUGAGGAACUAAGGAACAAAGGUGGAGAGAAGAAGUUAUUCUGACUCGCUAAGGUGAGAGAGAGGAACACUCGGGAUCUGGACCAAGUGAGGUGCAUAAAAGAUGAUGACGGCAAAGUUUUGAUGGGGGAUGACCAGAUUAAGAGGAGGUGGCAGACCUACUUUCAUAAACUUCUAAGUGAAGAAGGGGAUCAAGAUAUUAUACUUGGGUAAUUGAGGAAUGCCGACAGUCAUCAUGAAUUAAGUAAUUGUAGGGACAUUGAGAUCGAUGAAGUCAUGGAGGCAAUGCGUAAGAUAAGAAGGGGCAGAGCUAUCGGGCCAGACGAAAUUCCGGUUGAACUGUGGAGGUGUGUGGGUAGAGCAGGCUUGGAAUGGCUUACUGCAUUGUUUAGUGUUAUAUUCAAGACUAAUAGGAUGCCUGAAGAGUGGAGGUGGAGUACAAUGAUCCCGUUGUAUAAGAACAAAGGUGAUGUCCAGAGCUGUAACAACUAUAAGAGCAUCAAAUUACUAAGUCAUACCAUGAAAGUUUGGGAGAGAGUGGUAGAAAUGAGAGUGCGAAGGACGAUGUCUAUUUCAGACAACCAGUUCGGGUUCAUGCCGGGGCGAUCUACUACAGAAGCUAUCCACCUUAUUAGGAGGAUGGUGGAACAGUACAGGGAUAGGAAGAAGGAUCUUCACAUUGUGUUUAUUGAUCUGGAGAAAGCGUAUGAUAGAGUUCCUAGGGAGGUCUUAUGGAGCUGCUUAGAGGAUAAAGGGGUCCCGGUUGACUAUAUUAGGGUGAUUAAAGACAUGUAUGCUGGAGCUAAGACUCGGGUUAGGACAGUAAGAGGCGACUCUGAACACUUUCCAGUUAUUACGGGGUUGCACCAAGGGUCUGCGCUUAGCCCAUUCAUAUUUGCCCUGGUGAUGGAUGCACUGACUCAUCAUAUUCAAGGGGAGGUGCCAUGGUGCAUGCUAUUUGCUGAUGACAUUAUUCUAAUUGACGAGACACGAGGCGACGUCAACGAGAGGCUAGAGAUUUGGAGACAUGCUCUUGAGUCUAAAGAUUUCAAGUUGAGCAGGACGAAGACGGAAUACCUCGAGUGCAAAUUUGGAGUUGAGCCGACGGAAGCGGGAGUUGAAGUGAGGCUUGACUCUCUAGUCAUUCCCAAGAGGGGUAGUUUCAAGUACCUUGGAUCGGUUAUUUAGGGGAUCGGGGAGAUUGACGAGGAUGUCACACACCGUAUAGGGGUGGGGUGGAUGAAGUGGAGGUUAGCGUCGGGAGUCUUGUGUGACAAGAAAGUGCCACCGUUACUGAAAGGUAAGUUUUAUAGAGCAGUGGUUAGGCCUGCCAUGUUAUAUGAAACUGAAUGUUGGCCGGUAAAGAACUCACACAUCCAGAAGAUGAAAGUAGCAGAGAUGAGGAUGUUGAUGUGGAUGUGCGGGCAUACAAGGAUGGAUAAGAUUAGGAAUGAAGAUAUUCGAGAGAAGGUGGGCGUGGCCCCCAUGGAGGACAAAAUGCGGGAAGUAAGACUCAGAUGGUUCGGGCACAUUCAGAGGAGGAGCACUGAUGCACCAGUGAGGAGGUGUGAGCGACUGGCUGACGCGGAGAGGUAGAGGGCGACCUAAGAAGUAUUGGGGAGAGGUGAUCAGACAUGACAUGGCACGACUUAUGAUUACUGAGGACAUGGCCCUUGAUAAGGAAUUAUGGAGGGCGAGUAUUAAGGUUGUAGGUUAGGGGAAAG
rnacentral:lncRNA from 1 species